rnacentral:miRNA from 1 species
UUUAAUUAGUAUAGCCUGUUUU